rnacentral:rRNA from 1 species
GACGAACGCUGGCGGCGUGCCUAAUACAUGCAAGUUGAGCGCUGAAGGUUGGUACUUGUACCAACUGGAUGAGCAGCGAACGGGUGAGUAACGCGUGGGGAAUCUGCCUUUGAGCGGGGGACAACAUUUGGAAACGAAUGCUAAUACCGCAUAAAAACUUUAAACACAAGUUUUAAGUUUGAAAGAUGCAAUUGCAUCACUCAAAGAUGAUCCCGCGUUGUAUUAGCUAGUUGGUGAGGUAAAGGCUCACCAAGGCGAUGAUACAUAGCCGACCUGAGAGGGUGAUCGGCCACAUUGGGACUGAGACACGGCCCAAACUCCUACGGGAGGCAGCAGUAGGGAAUCUUCGGCAAUGGACGAAAGUCUGACCCAGCAACGCCGCGUGAGUGAAGAAGGUUUUCGGAUCGUAAAACUCUGUUGGUAGAGAAGAACGUUGGUGAGAGUGGAAAGCUCAUCAAGUGACGGUAACUACCCAGAAAGGGACGGCUAACUACGUG